rnacentral:rRNA from 1 species
UACGUAGGGGGCUAGCGUUGUCCGGAAUCAUUGGGCGUAAAGAGCGUGUAGGCGGCCCGGUAAGUCCGCUGUGAAAGUCAAAGGCUCAACCUUUGAAUGUCAGCGGAUACUGCCGGGCUAGAGUCCGGAAGAGGCGAGUGGAACUCCUGGUGUGGCGGUGGAAUGCGCAGAUAUCAGGAAGAACACCAACGGCGAAGGCAGCUCGCUGGGACGGUACUGACGCUGAGACGCGAAAGCGUGGGGAGCGAACAGG